rnacentral:rRNA from 1 species
AGAGUUUGAUCCUGGCUCAGGAUGAACGCUGGCGGCGUGCUUAACACAUGCAAGUCGAACGAAGCACUUUAUUUGAUUUCCUUCGGGACUGAUUAUUUUGUGACUGAGUGGCGGACGGGUGAGUAACGCGUGGGUAACCUGCCUUGUACAGGGGGAUAACAGUUGGAAACGGCUGCUAAUACCGCAUAAGCGCACGGCAUCGCAUGAUGCAGUGUGAAAAACUCCGGUGGUAUAAGAUGGACCCGCGUUGGAUUAGCUAGUUGGUGAGGUAACGGCCCACCAAGGCGACGAUCCAUAGCCGACCUGAGAGGGUGACCGGCCACAUUGGGACUGAGACACGGCCCAAACUCCUACGGGAGGCAGCAGUGGGGAAUAUUGCACAAUGGGGGAAACCCUGAUGCAGCGACGCCGCGUGAGUGAAGAAGUAUUUCGGUAUGUAAAGCUCUAUCAGCAGGGAAGAAAAUGACGGUACCUGACUAAGAAGCACCGGCUAAAUACGUGCCAGCAGCCGCGGUAAUACGUAUGGUGCAAGCGUUAUCCGGAUUUACUGGGUGUAAAGGGAGCGCAGGCGGUGCGGCAAGUCUGAUGUGAAAGCCCGGGGCUCAACCCCGGUACUGCAUUGGAAACUGUCGUACUAGAGUGUCGGAGGGGUAAGCGGAAUUCCUAGUGUAGCGGUGAAAUGCGUAGAUAUUAGGAGGAACACCAGUGGCGAAGGCGGCUUACUGGACGAUAACUGACGCUGAGGCUCGAAAGCGUGGGGAGCAAACAGGAUUAGAUACCCUGGUAGUCCACGCCGUAAACGAUGAUUACUAGGUGUGGGGGGACUGACCCCUUCCGUGCCGGAGUUAACACAAUAAGUAAUCCACCUGGGGAGUACGACCGCAAGGUUGAAACUCAAAGGAAUUGACGGGGGCCCGCACAAGCGGUGGAGCAUGUGGUUUAAUUCGAAGCAACGCGAAGAACCUUACCAAGUCUUGACAUCCUUCUGACCGGACAGUAAUGUGUCCUUUCCUUCGGGACAGAAGUGACAGGUGGUGCAUGGUUGUCGUCAGCUCGUGUCGUGAGAUGUUGGGUUAAGUC